UACGGGGGGGGCAAGCGUUGUUCGGAAUUGCUGGGCGUAAAGGGCUCGUAGGCGGCCAACUAAGUCAGACGUGAAAUCCCUCGGCUUAACCGGGGAACUGCGUCUGAUACUGGAUGGCUUGAGGUUGGGAGAGGGAUGCGGAAUUCCAGGUGUAGCGGUGAAAUGCGUAGAUAUCUGGAGGAACACCGGUGGCGAAGGCGGCAUCCUGGACCAAUUCUGACGCUGAGGAGCGAAAGCCAGGGGAGCAAACAGG
rnacentral:rRNA from 1 species